UAGGCUGUAAUUAAAAUGGUAAUAUCACCUUUGAUGCUGGUUCGAAUCCUGCCAGCCUAG
rnacentral:tRNA from 1 species